GAUUAAGUUAUUAAGGGCGCACGGUGGAUGCCUUGGCACUAGAAGCCGAUGAAGGACGUUACUAACGACGAUAUGCUUUGGGGAGCUGUAAGUAAGCUUUGAUCCAGAGAUUUCCGAAUGGGGAAACCCAGCAUGAGUUAUGUCAUGUUAUCAAUAUGUGAAUACAUAGCAUAUCAGAAGGCACACCCGGAGAACUGAAACAUCUUAGUACCCGGAGGAAGAGAAAGAAAAUUCGAUUCCCUUAGUAGCGGCGAGCGAAACGGGAAGAGCCCAAACCAACAAGCUUGCUUGUUGGGGUUGUAGGACACUCUAUACGGAGUUACAAAGGACGACAUUAGACGAAUCAUCUGGAAAGAUGAAUCAAAGAAGGUAAUAAUCCUGUAGUCGAAAAUGUUGUCUCUCUUGAGUGGAUCCUGAGUACGACGGAGCACGUGAAAUUCCGUCGGAAUCUGGGAGGACCAUCUCCUAAGGCUAAAUACUCUCUAGUGACCGAUAGUGAACCAGUACCGUGAGGGAAAGGUGAAAAGCACCCCGGAAGGGGAGUGAAAUAGAACCUGAAACCGUGUGCUUACAAGUAGUCAGAGCCCGUUAAUGGGUGAUGGCGUGCCUUUUGUAGAAUGAACCGGCGAGUUACGAUUUGAUGCAAGGUUAAGCAGUAAAUGUGGAGCCGUAGCGAAAGCGAGUCUGAAUAGGGCGUUUAGUAUUUGGUCGUAGACCCGAAACCAGGUGAUCUACCCUUGGUCAGGUUGAAGUUCAGGUAACACUGAAUGGAGGACCGAACCGACUUACGUUGAAAAGUGAGCGGAUGAACUGAGGGUAGCGGAGAAAUUCCAAUCGAACCUGGAGAUAGCUGGUUCUCUCCGAAAUAGCUUUAGGGCUAGCCUCAAGUGAUGAUUAUUGGAGGUAGAGCACUGUUUGGACGAGGGGCCCCUCUCGGGUUACCGAAUUCAGACAAACUCCGAAUGCCAAUUAAUUUAACUUGGGAGUCAGAACAUGGGUGAUAAGGUCCGUGUUCGAAAGGGAAACAGCCCAGACCACCAGCUAAGGUCCCAAAAUAUAUGUUAAGUGGAAAAGGAUGUGGCGUUGCCCAGACAACUAGGAUGUUGGCUUAGAAGCAGCCAUCAUUUAAAGAGUGCGUAAUAGCUCACUAGUCGAGUGACACUGCGCCGAAAAUGUACCGGGGCUAAACAUAUUACCGAAGCUGUGGAUUGUCCUUUGGACAAUGGUAGGAGAGCGUUCUAAGGGCGUUGAAGCAUGAUCGUAAGGACAUGUGGAGCGCUUAGAAGUGAGAAUGCCGGUGUGAGUAGCGAAAGACGGGUGAGAAUCCCGUCCACCGAUUGACUAAGGUUUCCAGAGGAAGGCUCGUCCGCUCUGGGUUAGUCGGGUCCUAAGCUGAGGCCGACAGGCGUAGGCGAUGGAUAACAGGUUGAUAUUCCUGUACCACCUAUAAUCGUUUUAAUCGAUGGGGGGACGCAGUAGGAUAGGCGAAGCGUGCGAUUGGAUUGCACGUCUAAGCAGUAAGGCUGAGUAUUAGGCAAAUCCGGUACUCGUUAAGGCUGAGCUGUGAUGGGGAGAAGACAUUGAGUCUUCGAGUCGUUGAUUUCACACUGCCGAGAAAAGCCUCUAGAUAGAAAAUAGGUGCCCGUACCGCAAACCGACACAGGUAGUCAAGAUGAGAAUUCUAAGGUGAGCGAGCGAACUCUCGUUAAGGAACUCGGCAAAAUGACCCCGUAACUUCGGGAGAAGGGGUGCUCUUUAGGGUUAACGCCCAGAAGAGCCGCAGUGAAUAGGCCCAAGCGACUGUUUAUCAAAAACACAGGUCUCUGCUAAACCGUAAGGUGAUGUAUAGGGGCUGACGCCUGCCCGGUGCUGGAAGGUUAAGAGGAGUGGUUAGCUUCUGCGAAGCUACGAAUCGAAGCCCCAGUAAACGGCGGCCGUAACUAUAACGGUCCUAAGGUAGCGAAAUUCCUUGUCGGGUAAGUUCCGACCCGCACGAAAGGCGUAACGAUUUGGGCACUGUCUCAACGAGAGACUCGGUGAAAUCAUAGUACCUGUGAAGAUGCAGGUUACCCGCGACAGGACGGAAAGACCCCGUGGAGCUUUACUGUAGCCUGAUAUUGAAAUUCGGCACAGCUUGUACAGGAUAGGUAGGAGCCUUUGAAACGUGAGCGCUAGCUUACGUGGAGGCGCUGGUGGGAUACUACCCUAGCUGUGUUGGCUUUCUAACCCGCACCACUUAUCGUGGUGGGAGACAGUGUCAGGCGGGCAGUUUGACUGGGGCGGUCGCCUCCUAAAAGGUAACGGAGGCGCUCAAAGGUUCCCUCAGAAUGGUUGGAAAUCAUUCAUAGAGUGUAAAGGCAUAAGGGAGCUUGACUGCGAGACCUACAAGUCGAGCAGGGUCGAAAGACGGACUUAGUGAUCCGGUGGUUCCGCAUGGAAGGGCCAUCGCUCAACGGAUAAAAGCUACCCCGGGGAUAACAGGCUUAUCUCCCCCAAGAGUUCACAUCGACGGGGAGGUUUGGCACCUCGAUGUCGGCUCAUCGCAUCCUGGGGCUGUAGUCGGUCCCAAGGGUUGGGCUGUUCGCCCAUUAAAGCGGUACGCGAGCUGGGUUCAGAACGUCGUGAGACAGUUCGGUCCCUAUCCGUCGUGGGCGUAGGAAAUUUGAGAGGAGCUGUCCUUAGUACGAGAGGACCGGGAUGGACAUACCUCUGGUGUACCAGUUGUCGUGCCAACGGCAUAGCUGGGUAGCUAUGUGUGGACGGGAUAAGUGCUGAAAGCAUCUAAGCAUGAAGCCCCCCUCAAGAUGAGAUUUCCCAACUUCGGUUAUAAGAUCCCUCAAAGAUGAUGAGGUUAAUAGGUUCGAGGUGGAAGCAUGGUGACAUGUGGAGCUGACGAAUACUAAUCGAUCGAAGACUUAAUCAA
rnacentral:rRNA from 1 species